rnacentral:rRNA from 1 species
UACGAAGGGGGCUAGCGUUGCUCGGAAUGACUGGGCGUAAAGGGCGCGUAGGCGGUUCGUACAGUCAGACGUGAAAUUCCCGGGCUCAACCUGGGGGCUGCGUUUGAUACGUACGGGCUUGAGUUCGGAAGAGGGUUGUGGAAUUCCCAGUGUAGAGGUGAAAUUCGUAGAUAUUGGGAAGAACACCGGUGGCGAAGGCGGCGACCUGGUCCGAUACUGACGCUGAGGCGCGAAAGCGUGGGGAGCAAACAGG